AACGAACGCUGGCGGCAGGCCUAACACAUGCAAGUCGAGCGAGCAUUUCGGUGCUAGCGGCGGACGGGUGAGUAACGCGUGGGAACGUGCCCUUUUCUGCGGAAUAGUCCUGGGAAACUGGGGGUAAUACCGCAUACGCCCUUUUGGGGAAAGAUUUAUCGGAGAAGGAUCGGCCCGCGUUGGAUUAGGUAGCUGGUGGGGUAAUGGCCCACCAAGCCGACGAUCCAUAGCUGGUUUGAGAGGAUGAUCAGCCACACUGGGACUGAGACACGGCCCAGACUCCUACGGGAGGCAGCAGUGGGUAAUCUUAGACAAUGGGGGCAACCCUGAUCGAGCCAUGCCGCGUGAGUGAUGAAGGCCUUAGGGUUGUAAAGCUCUUUCAGCUGGGAAGAUAAUGACGGUACCAGCAGAAGAAGCCCCGGCUAACUCCGUG
rnacentral:rRNA from 1 species